CAGGGAUGCAGGAGGUGACCUGGCCCACCAAGGGGAGAGAUGUGACGACGCAGGGAGAACUGGGUGGCUCCUGGUGGCUGAAGCCACGCCCACCAGUCCCUCCAGACACGCGACUGUUUUAUGAGCAAAUUACCGAGAACACUUUGAUCUUCAGGGGUUUGUGGCUUUGGAUCCCGGGCGCAGACCUACACACCACUCAUCAAGCCAUGCUGUGGCAGCAUCCCUCAGACAAAAUAGAGGAAGACUGGCACAGAUUCUUGUGGGGAGAGGGGGCCAUGCAGGCGAGCACAGCUAACCGAGGGACAAUAAUGAAUUUGGAACUGCAGCCUCGUCCUUCUGAUCGUCAGGGGCCAGGUCAUCCUUUUUGCCACCAGGAAUCAACUGUGUCCCGUGAUGUCUUCAGUUUGAACAGACAGAUAAUCCGAAAGAGAUUACUGCCCCUCGGCUCACCGGCACAGGCGAUGGCAGCUCAUAUGAAGCGCAGCACGUCCCCAGACGCACUGCACCCCGACCACAGGCCCACGGGGAGCUGACGGCGGCACCUGUCUGCUUGGCAGGUGACGAUGCUUGGCCCACAGUGAACACUUCUGCCUGAGAAUAGGGAGGUGUAAAGUGAUUCAGCAUACUCCAGGCACGAGUGUCUCUCCUUUGUCCUUUCAAUGAUGAAGUGCUGGCAGCUUGGGAGUAAACAGCAGCACUGGGGAGAAACGGGCCUUUUCUUUUAUAAAAGAUAAACCCGAAUGCGACGGAUGCUGUUUGCCCGGGUCAGCGAGGCGUCCACGCUAAGCUGAUUAGCUCUGGGCAAAGAAGAAAGACAAACACUGGUUUGAAGGUCGCCCUCAUCUGACUGCUCACAAAUGUUCCAGCUCCAGACAAGCCCUCCGCCUCUGCUGCCUCCGCCUGCUCCCUCCACCCGCUGCCAGCAAGCGGGUCUCUCCCCAGAAUGAGGCCGGGGGCAUGGAUACAGGACACACAGCAGGACGCCCUGCCCCGCCAGCCCUGACCCGGGCAGCCCAGGGAGGGCCUGGGGAGCUGGGACUGGCAGGCUUGGCUGGACGUCACCCUGGGCACUGGGGCUGUGGUCACCAGCCCCUCUGCACACGGAGCUGGUGCAGAAGGCACCCGGCUGGCCUAGGGAGGGGCUGGGAAGGGGCUGGAAGAGAAGCCCUUGCAGUUUUUGGUUUCGCU
rnacentral:lncRNA from 1 species